GGCGUUCGAUGUAGAGUAGUAAAUAAAGAUGUAGAUGUGCAGUUGUAGAAUGUAGCCUAUGAAAAGGUAAUAAAAUCCAAAUUUCUGUUCAAUUCUGAAUGGUUGCUAAGCCUUGCUUCACCAUUCUGACAUGAAAGGCGUGAAGAAACAAGGCAAUAGAUUGUAGGCUCAGCGAAGAUUGUGGGCACAACAUCAUAACGGUAGGCAUGAGAAAAUGUAGGAAUCUAUUUGCAGGAAGAAAUUGGCAAUCCCAUGAAAAGAGGAAACACAGUCAUGCUCCUUUAGAGAAAGCUCCUGCGACCAAACAAACACUUACAUACGAGAAUCCCUCUCUUAAACACAACCCCAGUCAUGGUUCCUUUUGAAUUCUCUCCACACUCUUAACACUAAUUCAUGCUUCAGUAGAAAAAGUAUCAAUCAAUAAUGCCUGAGAAGCUCUCAAAUUCCAGAAUCAAACAGAGACUACAACACAGCAGAUUGAUCGCCAUAAG